AAUAAGUGCAGUUUUGCACUGUUCAUGUCUAACGUUUGAACGUUCGUCUUAUUUAAAAAUAUAUGAUUAGUACUUUUUUGUUAUUAGAUGAUAAAACAUGAAUAGUAUUUUAUGUGUGAAUAUUUUUUUAUUUUUUUAUAAAUUUUUUAAAUAAGACGGACGGUUAAACGUUGGACACGGAUACCCACGUCUACAUUUAUU
rfam:Oryza barthii chromosome 12, whole genome shotgun sequence.